CAUUCCAGUCUAGAUUAUAUCGAUUAAUUAGCAUUCAUGUUUUUACAUUUAUCAAGUUUAAUUAAUUAACUGUUGCAUGGGCUGGAGUAAAUUUUGAUUCCCAUAAACAUUUUAUACAGUUAAUCAAUGUAAGAAAGUUACCUCCUGGUAACUGAAAAGCCCUAGGAAAAGGGACAGUGCAGACUUGUCUGGGUCUGACCUUGCGGUAACCCGUGAGUUACUGACAAUACAUUCAACGACUGGUCUUCCGGCCAGCAACAGCCAUUAAUAUAAGUAUCGGACUGUCAUCCUCCUCGUCUUGUGCAACGAGGUCCAACUACACAUGCUCAGAUGUGAAGGAAAAGGAGACUGCAGAGGUGCCCUGCAGAAGUAUUGGGAUGCAGCCAGUCUCAUGACUUCUGAGACCCAGCCGCUGAUGUCUUCCUGUUUCCUCAGCACUCAUCUCUCUUCAAAAUGACCACAAUGUUCUUAUCUGUGAGGGCCACCGUGUACUGAAGGUCAGGGUCCAUGGCUACACUGUUGAUCGAAGCACCCACAAAUUUGUCCUCUACCGGCAACUCCAAAAUCUGAAAU